rnacentral:misc_RNA from 1 species
GACAAUACAACGGGCUGAGCGGCUUUCUGCGGCGAGAGGAAUCCGAAUAUGACGUGUUCAACGCAGCUCACGCGGGCACGUCAAUCUCUUCCGCGCUGGGCAUCGCGGCGGCGCGCGAUCUGAAGAACGAAGACUUCAACGUAGUCGCGUUCAUUGGUGACGCCGGUUUGACGGCGGGGAUGGCGCUUGAAGGCAUAAACCAAGUCGGGCAUCUCAAGAAGCGAAUGAUUAUCCUGCUAAACGACAACGAGAUGUCGAUCUCGCCCAACGUUGGCGCACUUU